rnacentral:lncRNA from 1 species
AAGCGGCCUGGGCGUGGCCGGGCUCCGAGGUCCCCAGUCUCGGGGUCGGGGUUUGGCCAUGGAGGAGAGCGAGGGUUUCUGGCAGUCCAAUCCUUUUAUCAGACUCACCGGGCUCGGCUGGAAUUUGCAGUAUUCCUGCUUCAGCCUUCCGGAGUGCUGAGAUUAUGCCUCGCUACCAUCUUUUUUAAAAAAUAAUUUUUAUGUAAUAACUGUAGUUCAUGCUAUGACGUAAAAUGCUCUUAGAAAAUUCGAAUUAUAAAACUAUAAGGAAGAAAAAUGCCCAUACAGCAUAAAUAAAUGAAAAUAGGCCGGCUGUGGUGCCCCACCGCCUGUAAUCCCAGCACCUGGGAAGCUCAGGCAGGGGGAUGACAAAUUGAAGCCCAGCCUGGGCAAUUUAGUAAUUUAGAGAGAUCUGUCUCAAAAUUUAAAAAUACUUUAAAAGGACUGGGGGUGUGAAGACUUUGGAUUCUAGCCUCCGUACCAAAAGAAAAAAAAAAAGAAGGAAACGUGUCCAACCAUCCUAAUGAUAACCAUAUAAUAGAAGAGGAAAACAUCCAUGAAAAUGUGCAAAGAAAAUUUCCUAAACCUGAAGGACAGUUUACGGAUGGAAAGUGCUUGCCCAGUGAAUGGAACUAGAACCCAGGACAAUGCAAACAGGUAAGAUCCUACCAGCUUCUAAGGAGAAAACGCAAAUCUUCAGGAAACAGGAAGUACAAACAUCCCCGCUCUGGGCUCUGCUUACACUGGUAGGCAGUACCUUUAAUGUUCUGAAGGAAAGUGAUGUUCAGGCUAGAAUGCUACACAUAGCCAAACCGUUCAUCAAGUAGGCGGGUAAAAUAAGAACAUUUUCAGACAAACAAGUUCUCAAAAGUUUUACCUCCCACAUACCAUAUCCCAGAAAGCUUUUGGGACAUAUGUUCCUCCCGCAAGAGGAAAUAAACCCAAAGAAGCUAGGAGAGGCGAAAACUGGAGAUCCUGCAGAACACAAGAGAGAAAGAGGCCCCACUCAUGGUGACUGUUGGGUGGGACCACACUGCAGGAGGGCAGCUUGGCAGCCUCAGCCACACAGGCCACUUCCUUCAAGAUGGACAGCUGCGAAUGAGGAAAGACGUACCAGCACUUUGACCCGUUCUGCUCUGGUGACCCGAGGUACACUGAUAAAUACUGUGAAGAAUAAUCUUGCAAGCAAAGAGCAGCCCUCAGCAUACACCAGUUUUACCCACGCCUUGAUCUUGGACUUCCCAGCCUCCAAGGUGAGCAAUAAAUUUCUGUUAUGUAUAAACUAGCCUGCAGUAUGUUGUUUCUGGGACCCUCAAGGAUUUUGUGGGAUUCUGAGGCAGAAUUAAGAGUUUGAGACCAGUCUAGGCUACAAGCAAAUUCAAGGCUAGCCUGGACCACGUAGUAACACCCUAUGGGGAAAAAAAAAAAAAAAAGGAGAGGAAGGAAGGGAAAAAAGAGAAGAGGAAAACAAGGCUAGGCAUAGUGACACACACCUGUAGUCCUAGCACACUGGGAGGCCAAGGCAGGAGGAUUUAAGUUUGAGCACAGUUUGGGAAACUCAAUGACUUAGCAAGACUCUGUCUCAAAAUAAAAAAGGGCCGGGGAUGUAGCUCAGUGCAAAAGCCCUGGGUUCAAUUCCCAGUACUUAAAAAAAUCUUAUUUUGCUAGCAC